CCAGUAGGUCCCAGCCUCAUUUUCCCAACCCCUGUUCAAGAUAGAGUCACUCUGGUUUGAGUACUUCUGACAAAAACACUCAGUAUGCCAAAGUGCCAUAUUUUUGGCUAUCAUUUUCUGUGCCCCAACCCUACUAAGUAAAUUUAGUAUGAACUAUGUAUGACGAAUGGUGCUGUCAGGUCCUCUUACUUGAGGACUAGCAAUUGUUUAAUCUUGAAAACAUAUAUGUUAUGGAUUGUAUCUGCUUGGCUAUUUAAAAGGAAAAGACUUGGAGGUAACCAAGUUCUGAGCAAGUGACCUUUCCAUUUGGACAACUAUGGUGAAGAAAAUGGUGGUCCCAUUGCAGAGGCUGCACAGACCCGCAGAUAUUUCCAUGACAGCAAGAGCGGAAGUGAGAUCUCCUCACCUAGGGAACCACACUGAAUGCUCACCAGGCUGAGGCCGAGCACAAGCCACACCAGCAAGAUUGGCAGUGCCUAGGAAGACAAAGGAUAUUGCAGUGGAUACCAGAAGAACCAAACAUCAUAUGUUCUCACUCAUAAAUGGGAGCCAAAUUAUGAAGAUGCAAAGCCAUAAGAAUGAUACAGUGGACUUCGGGGACUCCGGGGAAAGGGUGGCAGAGGGGUGAGGGAUAAAAGACUACAAAUUUGAUUCAGUUUAUACCGAUCAGGUGAUGGGUGCACCAAAAUCUCACAAAUCACCACUAAAGAACUUACUCGUAACCAGAUAGCACUUGUUUCCCAAAAACCUAUAGAAAUAAUUUUUUCAAAAAAAGAGUCUUUCACAUGUCAACAUCCUUGUUCAUAGAGAUACUAUGUUGAGAAAGAAAAGAAUAGAAGAGAAAAUAUUUUAGAUCUUAAGAAUUAUAGCAACAAUAUUGUUUGAAUUUUGGAAUCAGUUACUGGGUUAGGCUAAGUCUGUUUUUCUUUUUCCCUCUCCUGUUUCUGUACUAUGAUGGAGGCUGAGAAGCAGAUCAGAGCAGUUUUGGUGAAUAAAGAAAGUACAUUUUCUCAAAUGACAUUUGACUUCAUUUUCAUUAUGAAUAAUUUCACAGCCUUUCCAUACUAAUCAGAAAAAGCUUAUACUGUCAUUGCUAAGAAUGGUGUACUCAAUUUUUUUUUUUAAGAUGGAGGAGUCUUGCUCUGUCCAGGCUGGAGUGCAGUGGCGCGACCUCGGCUCACUGCAAGCUCCGCCUCGUGGAUUCAUGCCAUUCUCCUGCUUCAGCCUCCCAAGUAGCUGGGACUACAGGCGCCCGCCACCACGCCCGGCUAAUUUUUUUUGUAUUUUUAGUAGAGACGGGGUUUCACCAUGUUAGCGAGGAUGGUCUCGAUCUUCUGACCUCAUGAUCCGCCCGCCUUGGCCUCCCAAAGUGCUGGGAUUACAGGCGUGAGCCACUGCGCCCUGCCGGUGUACUCACUUUUGAAACCUGAUAGUCAUAAAGUUAGAAUGUACUUGAAGUCUAGACUUAUAUUGUAAUUUAAGAAAUCAUCAUGUGAAUAGCAGAGCAGAAAACUAUAUUCUCUAAUUCUCUAUUUAAAGGACUCACUAUCUUCUGUAUAAUUCUGAGGAUAUUAAUUACAGUUUUUUUAAGAAUUUCAUUUUCUUCAAAGAAAUAAAAAACAUAUAGAUAUCUGUCAUUAUUAAAAUUACAGCCAUUAAAAAUCUUAAAAACAGAUUAUAUACAUUAAAAUUUAGGGUUAUAUUAACAAUCUGGAAUAUAUAACAAUUAUAGAAGCAUUAGAACAGAAAACAUUGUUACAUAAUUAAGAUCUUUCCUUCUCAUACAAAGAAAAGAGAAACUCAUCAAUUAAAGAAGAAAAAAGACUGUUAGGUCAAAAUUAAGCUAAAAGAUUACAAAGUAACUAAAAUAUUUGAAUAGAAAAUUACUGGCAAAAAUACAUCUGAAAAAAAUGCAAAUAACUAUAAAGGCUAAUUUAUAAUCAUGCAGACAAGAGUUAACAGGCCUGACUACUGUCUUCUGCAACGGCUGCUUAACAAGGUUGGCCCUUGGCUGGCAUUUGGAAGUUGGAUUUUAAGAGGGCUCCUGCCAUUCCCGAUAAAUUGUCUCAUUAUAACUAAACUGUUUGUACAAACAAUGUGGUUUAUGCUGAAUAUCUGCUUUCCUUUUGGGAGUCCGAGUUUUGGUCCAUGCCAAGCAGAGAGUGAACUCUGGACUCUGGACCAGAAGACCCUGAACUCUGAGUCUCUAAUGAGCUUCCCUGGUUGGCAACAUUUCACAUCUGUUGUCCCAAUUUGUUGCUAGGGGAAUGAAGUGUGUCUUGUGUGACUCUCUGUAAGCUUGUGCCUGGUU
ensembl:lncRNA novel transcript